rnacentral:rRNA from 1 species
AACGAACGCUGGCGGCAGGCCUAACACAUGCAAGUCGAGCGCCCCGCAAGGGAGCGGCGGACGGGUGAGUAACGCGUGGGAACGUACCCUUUGCUACGGAAUAGCCUCGGGAAACUGGGAGUAAUACCGUAUGUGCCCUUCGGGGGAAAGAUUUAUCGGCAAAGGAUCGGCCCGCGUUGGGUUAGGUAGUUGGUGGGGUAAUGGCCUACCAAGCCGACGAUCCAUAGCUGGUUUGAGAGGAUGAUCAGCCACACUGGGACUGAGACACGGCCCAGACUCCUACGGGAGGCAGCAGUGGGGAAUCUUAGACAAUGGGCGCAAGCCUGAUCUAGCCAUGCCGCGUGAGCGAUGAAGGCCUUAGGGUUGUAAAGCUCUUUCAGUGGGGAAGAUAAUGACUGUACCCACAGAAGAAGCCCGGCUAACUCCGUG